rnacentral:ncRNA from 1 species
CAGAAAAGUUACCACAGGGAUAACUGGCUUGUGGCAGCCAAGAGUCCAUAUCGACGUUGCUUUUUGAUCCUUCGAUGUCGGCUCUUCCUAUCAUUGCGAAGCAGAUUUCGCCAAGCGUUGGAUUGUUCACCCACUAAUAGGGAACGUGAGCUGGGUUUAGACCGUCGUGAGACAGGUUAUGUUUAUUUCGUCUGUUUUUAGUUAUAGUUUUUCAAUUUUCAAGGAAAAAAAUUUCAUUUUGAAAAAAGGGAUAAUUUAGUAUUAAAAAUUUUUUUUUAAGUUUUUUUUUUAGUUAUAGGGAAAAUUUUUCAAAAAAUAUAAAAUCUUUACAUUGUAGGGAAUUUUUCAUAGCUUUUCAAAAUCUUUAAAAAAAUCUAAGAUCUUAUUUUACAUACUAGGGAAGAAAAAAUAAAGAAAAGAUUUUAUUAUAACGCAAGGGAACUAUAUUUUAUAAAACCACUAAUCUCUAGGGAAAUUAGAGGUUAAAUAAUUUUGUUAAUUAUUGUAAAAUUUUUAAUAAAACAAUAGAAUAUUAUAAUUAAAAUCAUUAUAAUUAAUAUUAUUAUUAAUUAUAUCAAUUAUUUUAAUUAUUUAAUAAAAAAAUAACCAUUUUUGGGAAUUAUUUUUAAAAUGUCUAGGGAAGUUAUAGGGAAGUAUAGGGAACUUAUAGGGAACUUAUAGGGAAAAAUUUUAGAAAAAUUAUUGAUUGAUUUAUGAUUCAAGAAUCAAUAACUGUUUGAGGGCAAUUUCUACCUUUGAGGGAAAUAAUUGGCCCCAGAACAGGUAGUUUUAUCCUACUGUUGACUUUUUGUUGUUGAGAUAGUAAUCCAGCUCAGUACGAGAGGAACCGCUGGAUCAGCUAAUUGGUACAUGACGUUACUGGAGACAGUAAUGCGUCGAAGCUACCAGCUGCAGAAUUAUGACUGAACGCAUCUAAGUCAGUAUUCUGUCUAGUCAUGUCAACAAUAUUUUGCUUCAAUUUUGUUAUUAGGCAACAUUAUAUCUUUUUUUUAAAAAGAUAGUUUAAGCCUCACGUUAUGAUUUGUUUAUAAUAUUAAUAAAUAUUAUAAAUAAUAGUAUCGAAACAUCGAUGUCAGGUUGAGGUGAAAGUGAGCUUGUAUACGACUAGCUAGCUGGACCAGGGGGUGUAAGUAGCAGAGCAGGUCUUUCCUGCGAUCUACUGC